rnacentral:lncRNA from 1 species
AGUAAAAUAUUACGCUACAGUGCUACUGGCCCAUAAUCAGGCAACUGCAGAGUCUUAGGGGGUUAUCUAAUGUAGUCUUGGGGUGGCUGGAUAGACUUCCCAAAGAAGGUGAUGCCGAAGCUGAGGUCGGAAAUUACGAAGAUCAGCUAUGCCUUUUAAAGGACCAUGGGCUGUUUGAGGGGCCAACAUCAUUAACUGCAUCUACUUGUUUCCAAAGUUAUUUGGGUCAGCAUUUUCCUCCACCCACCACUUAAAACUGAUUUGUUUCAUACAUUUGAAAUGUAUGAAAAGCCAGAAAUCCAGGACCCACCCUGGCCUGCUCCCUUUUUCUCACCUACUGUGUUAAGAUGUCUACACUUUUACCUCUGCUUGCCUGAUACAACCACCACCAGUCACCUCACAGAAUAACUCACUCCUUAAGAAUCUGAUCAGGAAUCAGCCUUCCCUGAUCACAAACACUGAGUUUAGAAGUCCCUCCACAGUGUCCCCCGUAACCCUGUGCUACCUCACUGCCUCAUAGUUUAGUGCCGUUUGUGUACAUGCCUAUCUUCGUCCAUGGAUCCAGAACAACUUGUAAAAAUGACUGUACUUAUCACCUUCAGUAUUCAAUGACUAAACUAUAAUUUUAACAUAUCUGGCAGAAUGAAUCACUUGGGGAUUUCUGCCAACACUACCAAUAUAUUACUCCUAAUUUGUAAUUAUUACUUAGCAUGGAUUAUAGUACCGGCUGUUGGAGAGCCAAUGUGGCAGACCCUAAGUGGAAUAAAAUGUCAGUAGCAGUCUAGGAGCAUAUAUUUAUUGGAAUAGAUCAUUCAUUCAUUUGUUCAUUAACUAAUUUGUUCAUUAAAUAAACAUUUAUUAAGCA